GAAAACUCGGUCACGGGCGGCGGGGUAAUACGGAGGGGUCAAGCUUUAGUGGGAAUUACUGGGCGUAAAGCGGGCGCAGGCGGCUUAUUAAGUCAGAUGUGAAAUCCCUAGGCUCAACCUAGGAACUGCAUUUGAAACUAAUAAACUAGAGUAUCGUAGAGGGAGGUAGAAUUCCAGGUGUAGCGGUGAAAUGCGUAGAUAUCUGGAGGAAUACCAGUGGCGAAGGCGACCUCCUGGACGAAAACUGACGCUCAAGCACGAAAGCAUGGGGAGCAAACAGGAUUAGAUACCCGGGUAGUC
rnacentral:rRNA from 1 species